GUAGGUGAACCUGCGGAAGGAUCAUUGUCGAUACCUGCUCAGCAGAUAGACCCGUGAACAUGUUGCAUCAUCGAACGGGGGAAAGGGUGGUGGGGGGUGUGAGCCCCUUACUCCCUGAACCCAAACACAACAAUCGGCGCGGUUGGCGCCAAGGAAUCCACAACGGAACGGGUGUGGCAUCGUACCUUAGGUGUGAUGUGUGUCGCCUUAAAUCCGAAUCUCACGAACGACUCUCGGCAACGGAUAUCUCGGCUCUUGCAUCGAUGAAGAACGUAGCGAAAUGCGAUACUUGGUGUGAAUUGCAGAAUCCCGUGAACCAUCGAGUCUUUGAACGCAAGUUGCGCCCUAGGCCAUCAGGCUGAGGGCACGCCUGCCUGGGCGUCACGCAUCGCGUCGCCCGCCCUCUGUUCCCCUUGUGGGGGCCGAGUGCGGAGUGGAGUUUGGCCCCCCGUGCCCUAUUUUGGAGUACGGUCGGCCCAAAGGAAAGAGCCCCCUGUGUGGCGAGCGUCACGAUGAGUGGUGGUUGUAGCCACUUUGCCAUUUAGCUCGGACAUCGUGUGCGUAUUGCCCACGUUGGGUUCUAAUAACCCUGAUAGUGCGUCGUCUUGUGAGACGCUUCGACUGCGACCCCAGGUCAGGCGGGGCUACCCGCUGAG
rnacentral:rRNA from 1 species